AAAAUGACUCUCGGCAACGGAUAUCUCGGCUCUCGCAUCACGUAGCGAAAUGCGAUACUUGGUGUGAAUUGCAGAAUCCCGUGAACCAUCGAGUCUUUGAACGCAAGUUGCGCCCAAAGCCAUUAGGCCGAGGGCACGUCUGCCUGGGCGUCACGC
rnacentral:rRNA from 1 species